UGGGGAAUUUUGCACAAUGGGGGAAACCCUGAUGCAGCGACGCCGCGUGAUUUAGAAGGCCUUCGGGUUGUAAAAAUCUUUUCUAUGGGAAGAAAAUGACAGUACCAUAGGAAUAAGGACCGGCUAAUUACGUGCCAGCAGCCGCGGUAAUACGUAAGGUCCGAGCGUUGUCCGGAAUCAUUGGGCGUAAAGGGUACGUAGGCGGGUAAGCAAGUUAGAAGUGAAAUCCUAUAGCUCAACUAUAGUAAGCUUUUAAAACUGCUCAUCUUGAGGUAUGGAAGGGAAAGUGGAAUUCCUAGUGUAGCGGUGAAAUGCGCAGAUAUUAGGAGGAAUACCGGUGACGAAGGCGACUUUCUGGCCAUAACCUGACGCUGAGGUACGAAAGCGUGGGUAGCAAACAGG
rnacentral:rRNA from 1 species